rnacentral:tRNA from 1 species
AUAAGGUUAAGUUAGUUUUGACUGUACGUUUUCAAGACGUUUAGGGGCUGUUUUGGGUCAUCUUAUG